rnacentral:rRNA from 1 species
GAUGAACGCUGACAGAAUGCUUAACACAUGCAAGUCUUUGGCGAAUCUGUGCUUGCACAGGCUAGCCAAGGCGGACGGGUGAGUAACGCGUAAAGAACUUGCCCUGCAGACAGGGAUAACAGACGGAAACGACUGAUAAUACCUGAUACAGUUGCCGGCACGCAUGUGCCUGGCAAUGAAAAGAGAUGCUGCAGGAGAGCUUUGCGUCCUAUUAGCUUGUUGGUGAGGUGACGGCUCACCAAGGCGAUGAUAGGUAGCCGGCCUGAGAGGGUGAACGGCCACAAGGGGACUGAGAUACGGCCCUUACUCCUACGGGAGGCAGCAGUGGGGAAUAUUGGACAAUGGGGGCAACCCUGAUCCAGCAAUUCUGUGUGCACGAAGAAGGUUUUCGGAUUGUAAAGUGCUUUCAGCAGGGAAGAAGAAAGUGACGGUACCUGCAGAAGAAGCGACGGCUAAAUACGUG